UAAUCUGUUUAGGACAGAUCUUCAUCUAGUUGUUGUAAACUCAUACUUGACUGUUGUGAUCACCCGUUAUUGCAAACCCGAUUACAUCAUUGACCUAAAAAACAGAAGACAAUUAUUGCGUAAAUAAUAUUUUUUUUAGAUU
rfam:Populus trichocarpa scaffold_9_contig_102, whole genome shotgun sequence.